AACGAACGCUGGCGGCAGGCCUAACACAUGCAAGUCGAGCGAGCAUUUCGGUGCUAGCGGCGGACGGGGGAGUAACGCGUGGGAACGUGCCCUUUUCUGCGGAAUAGUCCUGGGAAACUGGGGGUAAUACCGCAUACGCCCUUUUGGGGAAAGAUUUAUCGGAGAAGGAGCGGCCCGCGUUGGAUUAGGUAGUUGGUGGGGUAAUGGCCCACCAAGCCGCCGAUCCAUAGCUGGUUUGAGAGGAUGAUCAGCCACACUGGGACUGAGACACGGCCCAGACUCCUACGGGAGGCAGCAGUGGGGAAUCUUAGACAAUGGGGGCAACCCUGAUCGAGCCAUGCCGCGUGAGUGAUGAAGGCCUUAGGGUUGUAAAGCUCUUUCAGCUGGGAAGAUAAUGACGGUACCAGCAGAAGAAGCCCCGGCUAACUCCGUG
rnacentral:rRNA from 1 species